UACAGAGGCCUCGAGCGUUGCGCGGAAUCACUGGGCUUAAAGGGUGCGUAGGCGGAUGUGCAAGUGCCUUGUGAAAUCCCCGGGCUCAACCCGGGAACUGCUUGGUAGACUGCAUGUCUUGAGGUCGGUAGGGGUUGCUGGAACAGUUGGUGGAGCGGUGAAAUGCGUAGAUAUCAACUGGAACGCCAAAGGCGAAGGCAAGCAACUGGGCCGAUUCUGACGCUGAGGCACGAAAGCGUGGGGAGCAAAC
rnacentral:rRNA from 1 species